AGGGAUGUAGCCCAGUGGUAGAGUGUGUGCCUAAUGUGUGAAGCCCUGGGUUCAAUUCCCAGCACUCCUC
rnacentral:tRNA from 1 species